rnacentral:pre_miRNA from 1 species
UAAAUACUCCCUCUGUCCAGAAAUACUUGUCAGAAAAAUGGAUGUAUCUAGAACUAAAAUAUUUCUAGAUACAUCCAUUCCCCCAACAAGUAUUUUUGGACGGAGGGAGUAUUAA